UACGAAGGGGGCUAGCGCUGCUCGGAAUCACUGGGCGUAAAGCGCACGUAGGCGGCUUUCUAAGUCAGGGGUGAAAUCCUGGAGCUCAACUCCAGAACUGCCUUUGAUACUGGAGAGCUUGAGUCCGGAAGAGGUGAGUGGAACUCCGAGUGUAGAGGUGAAAUUCGUAGAUAUUCGGAAGAACACCAGUGGCGAAGGCGGCUCACUGGUCCGGUACUGACGCUGAUGUGCGAAAGCGUGGGGAGCAAACAGG
rnacentral:rRNA from 1 species